UACGGGGGGGGGCAAGCGUUGUUCGGAAUUACUGGGCGUAAAGGGCUCGUAGGCGGCCAACUAAGUCAGACGUGAAAUCCCCAGGCUCAACCUGGGAACUGCGUCUGAUACUGGAUGGCUUGAAUCCGGGGGAGGGAUGCAGAAUUCCAGGUGUAGCGGUGAAAUGCGUAGAUAUCUGGAGGAACACCGGUGGCGAAGGCGGUUCUCUGGGCAUUACCUGACGCUGAGGAGCGAAAGUGUGGGGAGCGAACAGG
rnacentral:rRNA from 1 species